GAAAUGCGAUAAGUAAUGUGAAUUGCAGAAUUCAGUGAAUCAUCGAAUCUUUGAACGCACGUUGCGCCCGCCAGUAUUCUGGCGGGCAUGCCUGUCCGAGCGUCAUUUCAACCAUCAAGCCCCCGGGCUUGUGUUGGGGACCUGCGGCUGCCCGCAGGCCCUGAAAACCAGUGGCGGGCUCGCUAUCACACCGAGCGUAGUAGCAAUCACCUCGCUCAGGGCGUGCUGCGGGUUCCGGCCGUUAAACAGCCUUACAAAACCCAAGGUUGACCUCGGAUCAGGUAGGAAGACCCGCUGAACUUAAGC
rnacentral:misc_RNA from 1 species